rnacentral:rRNA from 1 species
GAUGAACGCUGGCGGCGUGCCUAAUACAUGCAAGUCGAGCGAACAGACGAGGAGCUUGCUCCUCUGACGUUAGCGGCGGACGGGUGAGUAACACGUGGAUAACCUACCUAUAAGACUGGGAUAACUUCGGGAAACCGGAGCUAAUACCGGAUAAUAUAUUGAACCGCAUGGUUCAAUAGUGAAAGACGGUUUUGCUGUCACUUAUAGAUGGAUCCGCGCCGCAUUAGCUAGUUGGUAAGGUAACGGCUUACCAAGGCGACGAUGCGUAGCCGACCUGGGAGGGGGGUCGGCCACACUAGAACUUGACCGCGGUCCAGGCGCCUGAGGGAGGGAGCAGUAGGGAAUCUGCCGCAAUGGGCGAAAGCCUGACGGAGCAACGCCGCGUGAGUGAUGACGGUCUUCGGAUCGUAAAACUCUGUUAUUAGGGAAGAACAAAUGUGUAAGUAGCUAUGCACGUCUUGACGGUACCUAGUCAGAAAGCCACGGCUAACUACGUG